rnacentral:lncRNA from 1 species
AGACAUUUGUGGCAAUGGUGUGCUAUGUACAGCUCAGUAUCCUCCGCUAACAAUUCAAGCACGGUGGAUGCACCGGAUGUACCACUUCUCCACACCACCAUCACAAGGCAACACCUACUACAGUCACCAUUUUCUCGUAAUAAAUGGAAUUUAAUUAAUAUUAUCAUUAUUGCGGCUAAUUACUUACUUGAUUAGUCUUACAGCCUCCACCUGGCACGCACCUGACAGGAUGCCAAGGAAACACGGAGCCGUAGGGGCCCACCUACCAGCAGCUACCCCCCAAAAGAAAACAAAAUGUUUUCCAUCACAUCGUGCAUGCGCCGAGCCGAGACAGAUCAAAAGCAGAGCACUGCUCUGUUGUUUUCCCCUUCGGUCGCGACGCGACGCCACGGCGAUCGAACGAUCAGCACCGGCCGCCGCUCCCGAGCUCGGCGACGAGCUCCC